AGUGAACGCUGGCGGUAGGCCUAACACAUGCAAGUCGAACGGCAGCACAGGAGAGCUUGCUCUCUGGGUGGCGAGUGGCGGACGGGUGAGGAAUACAUCGGAAUCUACUCUGUCGUGGGGGAUAACGUAGGGAAACUUACGCUAAUACCGCAUACGACCUACGGGUGAAAGCAGGGGAUCUUCGGACCUUGCGCGAUUGAAUGAGCCGAUGUCGGAUUAGCUAGUUGGCGGGGUAAAGGCCCACCAAGGCGACGAUCCGUAGCUGGUCUGAGAGGAUGAUCAGCCCAACUGGAACUGAGACACGGUCCAGACUCCUACGGGAGGCAGCAGUGGGGAAUAUUGGACAAUGGGCGCAAGCCUGAUCCAGCCAUACCGCGUGGGUGAAGAAGGCCUUCGGGUUGUAAAGCCCUUUUGUUGGGAAAGAAAUCCAGCUGGCUAAUACCCGGUUGGGAUGACGGUACCCAAAGAAUAAGCACCGGCUAACUUCGUGCCAGCCGCCGCCGUAA
rnacentral:rRNA from 1 species